UGCAAGUCGAACGAUGAAGCCCUUCGGGGUGGAUUAGUGGCGAACGGGUGAGUAACACGUGGGCAAUCUGCCCUUCACUCUGGGACAAGCCCUGGAAACGGGGUCUAAUACCGGAUACGAGCUUCCAAGGCAUCUUGGAGGUUGGAAAGCUCCGGCGGUGAAGGAUGAGCCCGCGGCCUAUCAGCUUGUUGGUGAGGUAAUGGCUCACCAAGGCGACGACGGGUAGCCGGCCUGAGAGGGCGACCGGCCACACUGGGACUGAGACACGGCCCAGACUCCUACGGGAGGCAGCAGUGGGGAAUAUUGCACAAUGGGCGAAAGCCUGAUGCAGCGACGCCGCGUGAGGGAUGACGGCCUUCGGGUUGUAAACCUCUUUCAGCAGGGAAGAAGCGAAAGUGACGGUACCUGCAGAAGAAGCGCCGGCUAACUACGUGCCAGCAGCCGCGGUAAUACGUAGGGCGCAAGCGUUGUCCGGAAUUAUUGGGCGUAAAGAGCUCGUAGGCGGCUUGUCACGUCGAUUGUGAAAGCCCGAGGCUUAACCUCGGGUCUGCAGUCGAUACGGGCUAGCUAGAGUGUGGUAGGGGAGAUCGGAAUUCCUGGUGUAGCGGUGAAAUGCGCAGAUAUCAGGA
rnacentral:rRNA from 1 species